UGAGAAGAUUCUUCAGUUCGCCAGUCAGUUGUAGCCUGCCGGGUGUAGAAUGCUAUGCUCUGAGGAAGAUGAAAAGAAGUUUAAAAUUCGACACGCCCCCCCUCCCGUGGAGCUUACAUUAAUAAUAUCAAUAGCUAACAUUUAUUAAGCACUAUGUCAGGAACUGUUCUUACAUUUAACAUUUAGAGUUCACGAGAACCUUAUGAGCCAUGACAUCGUUUGUACGGUGCGGGCCAUCGUUUGUACGGAUGAAGAAUGCAAGCUCCAAAGACUAUGUCAUAAGCCAGUGACAGAGCUGGAAGGAGUUCAGAGCCCUUGAUCACCUGCUCCAAAACCCAUCAUUCUGCACAGCAGGCUGAAAGCUGAAGAGGACGUAUUUGCAUCUACCAGCGGAGGAAAUUUGAAUGUUU